UAGAAGUAGAAAAAAGAAAACAUUUUCCCGUUGUUUCUUUCUCCUUUUUUCUUUUCUCAUUCGAUCUCCAUUACAUCGCGCUUCAGAUCAUCGGAAUCGAACUUCAGCUUGAUCCCCGCCUGACCUAGCGAAUCGAAUGGAACGACAACUCAAUUUGCACGAAUUUGGGUCUCCAGAAUGCCGGCGAGGGAGUUAGGUUGCUUCUCCUUGAGGGAGCUCUAUCAGAUCGGUUGAUGCGAUGGAGGUAAAAGGCGGCACCGUCAGUCGAGGUGGAGAGUUUAGGGUUUGAUCGUUAAAGAAGGGGGUGAAUGGAUCAAACAGUGGAAAUUUUUUAGUGCUUUCAGAUGGCUUGGGACGAUUCCUCCGCACCUGGAGCUUAGGCGUUGUCGAUCAGGCGCCACCGAAACAGCCACCACGGUUCUUCCUUUUCUACAAUCAUCCAAAUUAAAAGCAAAGAAUCCUUUACCUCUAGCUCUCGGCACAGCUCGCAUCUUGAAACUCCCUCUUCCUGAUGGCGGUGGUCGCUGCUCCCUCUUCCGGUCUCCGACGAGGGGGAUGUCUGCUCCUCCGCAUUACGCAGCAGCGAGAACCGCCUGAAAGACACGCCUUCCGUGCCAUGAAGGAUGAGCGUGCAAUGUCUUCUGGCGCCAUGAAUAAGGUGAG